rnacentral:rRNA from 1 species
GACGAACGCUGGCGGCGUGCUUAACACAUGCAAGUCGAACGGAAAGGCCCUGCUUUUGUGGGGUGCUCGAGUGGCGAACGGGUGAGUAACACGUGAGUAACCUGCCCUUGACUUUGGGAUAACUUCAGGAAACUGGGGCUAAUACCGGAUAGGAGCUCCUGCUGCAUGGUGGGGGUUGAAAAGUUUCGGCGGUUGGGUAUGGACUCGCGGCUUAUCAGCUUGUUGGUGGGGUAGUGGCUUACCAAGGCUUUGACGGGUAGCCGGCCUGAGAGGGUGACCGGCCACAUUGGGACUGAGAUACGGCCCAGACUCCUACGGGAGGCAGCAGUGGGGAAUAUUGCACAAUGGGCGGAAGCCUGAUGCAGCAACGCCGCGUGCGGGAUGACGGCCUUCGGGUUGUAAACCGCUUUCGCCUGUGACGAAGCGUGAGUGACGGUAAUGGGUAAAGAAGCACCGGCUAACUACGUG